rnacentral:rRNA from 1 species
UACGUAGGGCGCAAGCGUUGUCCGGAAUUAUUGGGCGUAAAGAGCUCGUAGGUGGCUUGUCACGUCGGGUGUGAAAGCUUGGGGCUUAACUCCAGGUCUGCAUUCGAUACGGGCUGGCUAGAGGUAGGUAGGGGAGAACGGAAUUCCUGGUGUAGCGGUGAAAUGCGCAGAUAUCAGGAGGAACACCGAUGGCGAAGGCAGGUCCCUGGGCAUUAACUGACGCUGAGGAGCGAAAGCAUGGGGAGCGAACAGG